CUGCUUAUUUGCUCGCUGUGUUGGGGGGCAAGACCAUAACCGAAGACAUCAAGAGCAUCCUUGGCGCCGGAAUGUGUCCUGAAAACAAGCAGAGGUUCAGUGUCUGUGUUUGUUUGUGGGGAUCAAGGAAAGCCUGCUUUGAUAACGUACCCAGAUGUUGCUCUUAAUUGUUGAAAGAGGUCCUGUGCUUGUGUGUGACAGCUGGUGCUUAUAUCCUUACACUGUUUGCAAUGAAAUAUAAAGAACGGGUGCUUGGGUUAAUUCUUGUAGCUCCUAUCUGCAAAGUGCCUUCUUGGACUGAAUGGCUCUACAACAAGGUAAUAAUUAACACUGCCAAAUUGAUAUUGCUUGUGAAGGUGGAAAAUUAAAGUGAGGCACUGCUUUCAAUUUUGAUCUUUAAUUAUAAUA